CAACACCCAAGGGACACCUGCUGCUCCCUUACACAGACACCUGCUUUCUAAGUCAUGCCUAAGUACAGGCCCAGUAAGGUGACAGGGCUGGGAUGAGAGGGAGCAGGAUGUGCUCCCUGCCCUGUGAAGAGCAGGGACCACGGCAGGGGCCUCUCUGGUGCCACACGGCCGAGGGCCUGAGGAGAAGCACGGGGCCCCUCAAAAUGGCGCCUUUCUCCCCUCAUGUCUCCCAGCAGGAGCCGGCCUGUCCCUUCAGGCACCUUUUGGCAUCGACUGCAAGCACCAGCCCUAUUCAGUGCUUGAGCAGUGCUUGAUUGCUUUUAAAUGGUGCCAGCAGCAGCAGGAGAAUUAAGGCUGAAGGGAAGCUGAGGAUGGCAUGUUCUCUUCCCAUCGGAUGGGUCCUUUUCCUGAAGAGAAAGGGAGAAAGAGGACAUUGAAGACAAAACAUGCAAAGAAAAUCUCAAGUCAAGUUUGAUUUUAAAUAGAGCAAGAUGUUACGAGAAGCUGUAUGGUGAGGAACUGUACCAUGUUUGUUCAGAUUGGCUUUCCUGGCUGAUAGCAAGUGUGACAUUUCUAAUGAAAGGGUUUCAGAGUGAGGAGUGGAUGUUGAUUACUACAUUGCAUUAC